AGAUUGAACGCUGGCGGCGUGCCUAACACAUGCAAGUCGAGCGGUAACAGGUGUAGCAAUACAUGCUGACGAGCGGCGAACGGGUGAGUAAUGCUUUGGAAUCUUCCCAGUAGUGGGGAAUAACCAGUCGAAAGAUUGGCUAAUACCGCAUACGUCUGUAAAGGGAAAGCGGGGGCUCGUAAGACCUCGCGCUAUUGGAUGAGCCAAAGUCGGAUUAGCUAGUUGGUGGGGUAAUGGCCUACCAAGGCGACAAUCCGUAGCUGGUCUGAGAGGACGACCAGCCACACCGGAACUGAGACACGGUCCGGACUCCUACGGGAGGCAGCAGUGGGGAAUAUUGGACAAUGGGGGAAACCCUGAUCCAGCGACGCCGCGUGUGUGAAGAAGGCCUGCGGGUUGUAAACCUCUUUCACCAUCGGCGAAGCCGGAAGCUUUUGUUCUGGUGACGGUAGGUGGAGAAGAAGCACCGGCCAACUACGUGCCAGCAGCCGC
rnacentral:rRNA from 1 species